UACGUAGGUGGCAAGCGUUGUCCGGAUUUACUGGGCGUAAAGAGCGCGCAGGCGGUCGUUCAAGUCGCGUGUGAAAGCCCCCGGCUCAACUGGGGAGGGUCACGCGAUACUGAUCGACUCGAAGGCAGGAGAGGGAAGUGGAAUUCCCGGUGUAGUGGUGAAAUGCGUAGAUAUCGAGAGGAACACCUGCGGCGAAGGCGGGUUGCUGGGCCGACACUGACGCUGAGGAGCGAAAGCCAGGGGAGCAAACGGG
rnacentral:rRNA from 1 species